UCGAGGAUCUUCGGCAAUGAGCGCAAGCUUGACCGAGCGACGCCGCGUGCGGGAUGAAGGCUUUCGGGUUGUAAACCGCUGUCAGUGGGGAGGAAAUUUAGGUGGGUACUCUCAUCUAAUUGACUUAUCCGCAGAGGAAGCAAGGGCUAAGUUCGUGCCAGCAGCCGCGGUAAGACGAACCUUGCUAACGUUAUUCGGAAUUACUGGGCUUAAAGGGUGCGUAGGCGGUGCAGAAAGUUGGGUGUGAAAGCCCUCGGCUCAACCGAGGAAUUGCGCCCAAAACUGCUGCACUAGAGGAAGACAGAGGUACGCGGAACUUAGGGUGGAGCGGUGAAAUGCGUUGAUAUCCUAAGGAACACCGGUGGCGAAAGCGGCGUACUGGGUCUUAUCUGACGCUGAGGCACGAAAGCUAGGGGAGCGAACGG
rnacentral:rRNA from 1 species